CGCGGAGCGGUUGGGUGAGGAAUCCUCCAGCCAAGCGGAGGAGGGGAAGGAUCAGAGAGAGAAGCGGCUUUGGGGACGGAAGGAAGGAAAGUGUGGUCUAGGAGGUGAAAUAGUCCUCUCCAAACUUUGACCCGAGGUGUGACUAUUGCUUUCCUGAGUCAUUUCAAAGUUACCUGCGGACAUCCUGAUACUGCAGCCCUAAAUACUUCAGUGGGACAGUCUAGUUGCAAGAAAACAAGCUCGG